GAUGAACGCUGGCUACAGGCUUAACACAUGCAAGUCGAGGGGCAACGACGGGGAAGCUUGCUCUUACGGGUGUCGACUGGCGCACGGGUGAGUAAUGCGUCUCCAACCUGCCUUUGACUGAGGGAUAACCCGGCGAAAGUCGGCUUAAUACCCCAUGGUCUUGUCUGCGGGCAUCCAAAGACGUUUAACGUUUUCAUCGGUCAGGGACGGGGAUGCGUCUGAUUAGCUUGUUGGCGGGGUAACGGCCCACCAAGGCUACGAUAAGUAGGUGUUCUGAGAGGAAGGUCCCCCACAUUGGAACUAAGACACGGUCCAAACUCGUACGGGACGCAGCGGUGAGUAAGAUAAGUCAAUGAACGAUAGCCUAGACCAGCCGAGUAGCGGGCGAAAGGACUGGCGUAUGAGUGGUAUACUGCUUUGAUGCAAGGGUAGCGGGAGAAACGUGUCCCUCAUUGCAGGUACCGCAUGAAUAAGGACCGGCUAAUUCCGUG
rnacentral:rRNA from 1 species